UGUCCCGGUAACAGUAUAACUGUGGUAGUGGAAGUAGUGUUACUACUUGUUAUCCUGCUGUCAUUUUGAUUGAUCGAUUUGCUCAUUUGUUUACAAGCCGCUUUAUGUGCAAGUCGUGCCGGGUGCCGCGUUCUGUUCACCUUUAUCUUAAAAAAGCGAUCAAAUCAGCAUCCUUCCGGUCAAAAGCUUCGUGACAAACACAUAACAAUGAUCAACAAUUCACGUGUUGUGUUGUGGAUUUGCGCAAUCCACCUACGCCAGUGCAGAACGGAACGUUUGUUGCGUUCUUCUUCUUCUUCGUUUGGUGCGUCUCGUUACGUCAGAAAAGUCAAGCUUCCUGCGCUACGGCAUGAAUUUGUGUACAAAAACAACCAAUAAGUAUGUGGACCGACAACUAAAGAUCAUAUAUCCCCCACUUGUCGGCUUUACCAUAUCGAUUACACACCUCCGUGAAGCUUAUCAAAGACUGUCAAAAGUACUGCAUCCGUCGAUCGUCCGGGGGAUGGCUCCCCCUUAAACAGAACAUGCCGGUUGCUUCCAUUCUUGGCCUGUUAAAAACAACCCACAACACUGCAUAACUAACAUGAUCUGAAGCAUCCUUUCAGUGUUUACAAGACGCUCCAGCAGAAAGUGAAUUUGUGACGAACAUUCGCUCCGAAACUGUGGUAUGUAGUGAUCGUUUAACACCGUACUAAGAUUGUUUGUGUUUAUACUUUUCAUGAGUCUGCUAAAUCCACAAAUCCGUGACACGAAGAUAACGUAAAAAGACUAUAUGGAUUGUGUAUUUGUUUAACACUAUGUGCGAAAUCACGAGAAUCAUUCAUCUGACAACGACUUAAUGAAACACAGCAUCUCACACAAGGAGUCUUUAUAUCGGUGCCGGAAGAGCCAUCCCCAUGAAUCCUUCACCAGCGCCAGCACUCGGUAGCUUCAUCGGAUCGUACAUUGGAUGUGAAUCAGUGGCCGGCCCAAGCGCGGCACGGUGCAAGACGAAAGACGGAAACGGAAUAUGGACAGGCAGAAUUGAUAAAGUGGUUCGCCAAAAAUCGACCGUCCUGUCGGAUGAACCCCCCAACACCCAGGGCCGGAGCCGGAGCGGUGGUAGCAUAAUUAAUUAUUAAACCCGCACCUUCAAUUACAGCUGAUCGAUUUUUAUGCCACGGCACUCAAAUCAAUGCCCGGCAGCAGCAACAACAGCUAGAAAGGGAAUGGGAACAAAAAAUCGCACACACUUCAAAUAUGGAGCGCAAGGCAAGGAAACGCAAUCGGACGUAAAUCUAUUAGCGCGCGCUUGCUUGUCCUGCUUGCUUAAUUCAGCUGCACUGGCAACACUGGGUAGUAAUCUAAAACUAAUUACACUUACGUCACGAUGACGUAUAAACGUACCCGCUACCUAGCGCCUGAAUGUAUACUUAUGGCCGAUGCCGGGCAAUAAUGCUCAUUCUGAGUAACAAACGGAAAUCAUUCCGUUGGAGAGACUCUAACCAAACGGGAAGCAAAUUUGCAUUCCGCACACCCGUUAGAAGUCGACAAAAGCUUCAUCGAUUUUUUUUCUUCGAUCAAUUAAUCUAUCAAAACGAAAACCAUAAACAAAAUUCAAAAUAGCAGUUCGUUGAGAGAUGUAUCUGCAUGAUUUUUAAUUAGUUUUGAGCUUUGAAGUCGCUAAUCGUCGAAUGCUCAGUUGAUUGUUGGGCUCUAUUACUUUUCUAUUUACACGGCCAUAUGCUCCGCUUCUUCGACCUUCCGAAGAAGACGUAAGUUUAUUCCAACUUACAACCUCUUCGUAAUAUCGAGAAGUUUGAGAAGACGGUUGGAACUCAGAAUGAGCGCUUAUCUCUUCAGGAUGUAAAGUAAAUUGCGAAAUACCGCUAGGUUAUACGAAGUGUCCAUAAAAUUCUGGUACGACCAUACCUCCGUACUUUGGUAAUAUUUAAAGUACUAAUGAUGGGACAAUUCCAAUUUUUUUUU